GAAAUAUUCAAAUGCCGCACCAAGAAGAGCAACAAAGUAAUGAGAUAUGUUUGUGUUUCAAACAGGAAAACCAGCAGAAAUAAAUCACAACCUGCCAGACAUCAGGGAGUUUCCGAGGUGCACAUGAAUGUAGCACACAGUGUUUCAUGCUGCUGAGUGUCCUCAAACGCCUCUCUCCGUGUUUCCUUCCCUUCCUGCUCAAAGUUCUUCUUCCCUGAAGUUCGUGGAGUGGAGCUUGUUCUUCGUGUGUUUGUUUGAUGAAAAUAUCAAAAAUGGAGAAGCCUGUUCGAAGACAGUUGCUGAACAUACUGGAUGAUUUAGGAAAAAAGGAGCUAGAACGUUUUCACUGGCACCUGCGGAUUGGACCCGGAGGUGAUUUCAUGACCAUUAAAAAGAGCCACCUGGAGAAAGCAGACACAAUGAGAGUAGUGGAUCUUAUGGUGGGAACAUAUACUACUGGCCGUGUGAUGGAGGUGGCGGAGUUGAUUUUAAAGAAGAUUAAAAAAGGUCAUUCAGAGAAAGAAGAAACAAACAAACAGUGCGGAAGUCCCUCAGUCCAGGAAGCUUCAUUGCUUUUAUCAGAAUCAGAAGGUAAGAUUCCAUGAGUUUGUCUGAAGAGACGUGGAUAAGGCAGAAACACAUGAACUCUGAGCUGACCAAUCAGAGCUCUGAUUCUUUGCAUGUGACAUCGCUGUAGCCUCAAUGUAGCUCUCCAGUAUGAUAAAAGUCAGAGAAAAAAAUAAACAUCAAAGACUCAGUAUGGUAGGAAGACACAACAUUCUCACAAUUUAUUUUAUGUAUUAAAAGUUUUAAUUUUGUCUGUCUUUCCUCCUCAAAUAAUCUUUGAGUACAAAUGUUAUAUUUACAUAAUUUUGAAGCCACGCAGGUUUUCAUUUUUAAACAGUCCACCUCAUGAUCACUUCAGGUGCACUUUCCUCCAACAGGAAGUCCCUCAGUCCAGGAAGCUUCAUUACUUUCAUCAGAAUCAGAAGGUAAGAUUCCACGAGUUUGUCUGAAGAGACGUGGAUAAGGCAGAAACACACAAAGUCUGAGCUGACCAAUCAGAGCUCUGAUUCUUUCCAUGCGAUAUCUCUGUAGCCUCAGUUUAGCUCUCCAGUAUGUCAGAGC
rnacentral:lncRNA from 1 species